rnacentral:rRNA from 1 species
GAUGAACGCUGGCGGCGUGCCUAAUACAUGCAAGUCGAGCGAACAGAUGAGGAGCUUGCUCCUCUGACGUUAGCGGCGGACGGGUGAGUAACACGUGGAUAACCUACCUAUAAGACUGGGAUAACUACGGGAAACCGGAGCUAAUACCGGAUAAUAUAUUGAACCGCAUGGUUCAAUAGUGAAAGACGGUUUUGCUGUCACUUAUAGAUGGAUCCGCGCCGCAUUAGCUAGUUGGUAAGGUAACGGCUUACCAAGGCAACGAUGCGUAGCCGACCUGAGAGGGUGAUCGGCCACACUGGAACUGAGACACGGUCCAGACUCCUACGGGAGGCAGCAGUAGGGAAUCUUCCGCAAUGGGCGAAAGCCUGACGGAGCAACGCCGCGUGAGUGAUGAAGGCCUUCGGAUCGUAAAACUCUGUUAUUAGGGAAGAACAAAUGUGUAAGUAACUAUGCACGUCUUGACGGUACCUAACCAGAAAGCCACGGCUAACUACGUG